rnacentral:rRNA from 1 species
UCCGUAGGUGAACCUGCGGAAGGAUCAUUACAGAAAUAGGAGAAGGUUGCUUAACUGCAAUCCUUUUCUUUCUACACAUGUGUUUUUCUUUUUUUUGAAAACUUUACUUUGGUGGGCCCACGGCCUGCCAGAGAUUAAACUCAACCAAAUUUUUAUUUAAUUGUCAACUUGAUUAACUAAUAGUCAAAACUUUCAACAACGGAUCUCUCGGUUCUCGCAUCGAUGAAGAACGCAGCGAAACGCGAUAAGUAAUAUGAAUUGCAGAUAUUCGUGAAUCAUCGAAUCUUUGAACGCACAUCGCGCCCUUUAGUAUUCCAAAGGGCAUGCCUGUUUGAGCGUCAUUUCUUCCUCAAACCUUCUGGUUUGGUGUUGAGUGAUACGCCGGGUUUGCUUGAAAGAAAGGCGGAGUAUAAACUAAUGGAUAGGUUUUUUUUUCCACUCAUCGGUACAAACUCCAAACAUUCUUCCAAAUUCGACCUCAAAUCAGGUAGGACUACCCGCUGGACUUAAGCAUAUCAAUAAGCGGAGGA